CAGCAGGACCCAAGGGUGGGGUUGUUCGCCCAUUAAAAGGGAUCGUGAGAUGGGUUUAGACCGUCGUGAGACAGGUUUGUUGCUUGGUGGUAGAAUCGCUCGGUGUUUGAUGGAAGGGGUCCUUUAGUACGAGAGGAACGAGGACUCGGGGCCACUAGUUUACCAGUUGUCUGACAAGGCAAAGCUGGGUAGCCACGCCCUGAGGGAUAAGAGCUGAAAGCAUCUAAGCUCGAAGCCCGCCCAAAGACGAGACACCAUAGAACACUCGUAGAAGACGAGUUUGAUAGACUGCGGAUGUAAGUACGAAGCUUCGGCGACGUAUUCAGUCCAGCAGCACUAAUCGUUCGAGCAUCUUUUUCA
rfam:Euryarchaeota archaeon TMED141 22519, whole genome shotgun sequence.